UGCACGCAUGACUGUAAGUCGCUUUGGAUAAAAGCGUUUGCUAAUUGGCUUAUA
rfam:Salmo salar isolate Sally breed double haploid chromosome ssa04, whole genome shotgun sequence.